rnacentral:snoRNA from 1 species
AUGAUGAUUCCUUUUUUUUCUACUACACCAAGAUCGCAGAAUGAUCAUGUUGAUAAUACUUUCUGAAGCU